rnacentral:rRNA from 1 species
UACGUAGGGUGCAAGCGUUAUCCGGAAUUAUUGGGCGUAAAGAGCUCGUAGGCGGUUUGUCGCGUCUGCUGUGAAAACUGGAGGCUCAACCUCCAGCCUGCAGUGGGUACGGGCAGACUAGAGUGCGGUAGGGGAGAUUGGAAUUCCAGGUGUAGCGGUGGAAUGCGCAGAUAUCAGGAGGAACACCGAUGGCGAAGGCAGAUCUCUGGGCCGUAACUGACGCUGAGGAGCGAAAGCAUGGGGAGCGAACAGG